UAUUAACUCUGGCGGCGUGCUUAACACAUGCAAGUCGAACGAAGCACUUUAACCUGAUUCUUCGGAUGAAGGUUUUUGUGACUGAGUGGCGGACGGGUGAGUAACGCGUGGGUAACCUGCCUCAUACAGGGGGAUAACAGUUAGAAAUGACUGCUAAUACCGCAUAAGACCACAGAGCCGCAUGGCUCGGUGGGAAAAACUCCGGUGGUAUGAGAUGGACCCGCGUCUGAUUAGGUAGUUGGUGGGGUAACGGCCUACCAAGCCAACGAUCAGUAGCCGACCUGAGAGGGUGACCGGCCACAUUGGGACUGAGACACGGCCCAAACUCCUACGGGAGGCAGCAGUGGGGAAUAUUGCACAAUGGGGGAAACCCUGAUGCAGCGACGCCGCGUGAGCGAAGAAGUAUUUCGGUAUGUAAAGCUCUAUCAGCAGGGAAGAAAAUGACGGUACCUGACUAAGAAGCACCGGCUAAAUACGUG
rnacentral:rRNA from 1 species